AACGGGAAAAGCCCAAACCAAUAAGCUUGCUUAUUGGGGUUGUAGGACACUCUGUACGGAGUUACAAAAGAAUUUGUUAGACGAAUAACCUGGAAAGGUUAAUCAUAGAAGGUAACAAUCCUGUAGUUGAAAAUAAAUUCUCUCUUGAGUGGAUCCUGAGUACGGCGGAGCACGUGAAAUUCCGUCGGAAUCUGGGAGGACCAUCUCCUAAGGCUAAAUACUCUCUAGUGACCGAUAGUGAACCAGUACCGUGAG
rnacentral:rRNA from 1 species